UACUCUUUUACUUUACGAGUAACGGGUAUAAUAAUGGUGACAUUGGAGGCUAUGCGUUCUAAUAUGUUGGAGCCAAAAGGGGAGCUCCCUGUAAGUUCUGAAGAACAGCUCUCCGCAUAGGACGAAAAAGUCAAGGAGUCUCCCGAAAAAUACAUUACUUUAUUUAGAAAGCUUUUGAUUCCAUUAGGACUUGUGAAAAAAUUGGAGCGCAUUAUAAGUCGCGAUUUUAUUUGUAAAAUGAAUUACACUGAAUCUUGUGGGCAGAUUGGUUUGGUUAACUAUGCCAAUGUAAAUAAUGCACUAUUUGAAGCCACCAGGUCUGACGGCUCUAGUUUCAAGGACCACUUUAAAAAUGUCCGUGAUGCCGCCAGGACUAAAAAAAUAACCAAGAAGGACUAAAAUAAUUUUUAGUUGCCAA